AAAAAAAAAUGAACAUAUCAAUAAAAGAAAGCUUAGAACAUGUAUGUGAAGUUUUAAGUUAUUUUGGAAUAGAAUAUAUAACGCCUGAGAUUUUCAGAAGAGGAAAAAAUGAUAAGAAGGUAAAGAGAAAAAAGGUAAUAAUAAAAUAUACAUAUUUGAUAAAUGAUUUAUGUCUUUUAUAUAUUUUUGAGUUUAAGCGAAAAUUUAAACCAACAUAUAAUGAUUAUAUUAAAAAGCAAAUAUUAAUAACGGAAGAGCAAUUUAUACGUAGUAGUAGUUGUAGUAAUGUUAGUAAUAAAAAAGGGUUAAAUAAGAAUGUAACGAAAAGAGAGUCAGAGAAUGACUAUGACCAAAAUAAUAAUAAUGUUGAAAGUAAUAGUGACGACGAAGAAUAUAAUGUUGAACAUUUAGAUGAAGAUGUUCAUUAUUUAGAUGAUUUUUAUUUAGUUUCACCAAUUGUAGUUUUUUUAUUAGAGUAUUUUGAAUAUCCUAGGUUAUACCAAUUACUUAAGUGUAAUUUUCAAAUGGCUAAAGAGUUAUUAUUAUGUAUUGGUUUUCUGAUUGAUUGUUUUGAUUUAUUUGGGCAUUAUGAUAAAAGACAAGAUUUUUAUGUAAAUUUUUUUACUUAUUUUUCCAACGGUGACAACAAUAGUAAUAAUAAUAAAGGAAGGGGUCGAAUGGGAAAUUGGAAAUCAACAAACGAAAUAAAACAAAAUAAAAAACAAACCAAUGAAAAAAUGAAUAAUAUUAAUAAUAAUAAUAAUAAAGAAGAAGAAGAAGAAGAAGAAUUAGACUUUUUUUACAGCAUUAACGAAGCAAUGCUUUUACUAUCGAAUAGACCAUAUGAUUUAGAGCUAUUUUCGUAUAAACAUUUUUACAAAUUCUUAAAUAAAUUAAAAAAUGUUAACAUAAUAAACGGUGACAUAAGUGCUGGAACGAGUAAGUUAGGGGAAGAAAGAACAAGGCAAACAACCAAAUCAUCUGAGAGGUUGAAAAAAAUUGCACAAACAAAGUUGGGUUUAAGCAAGACCAAAAACAAUUAUAAUAACGACGAAGAUGAUCAAAAUGAAAGUGAAGAAAUGACAACAGAAAUAAACCAAAAUAAACAAAACGACUUAGAUUUAUAUUCUUAUGCAUCAUAUAAUUAUGCAACAUAUGAAGAGCAGUUUUUAACGAAUUAUUAUAUGAAUAUAAAAUAUAAUCAAGAUACAAAAAGUAAUUUAUUAUCAUAUUUAAAUGAAGAUGCUAAUAAUAUAAUUUACAUAAAAGGGUUACUAAAAAAUGUGAAUAUAAAUAGUAAUAAAUUAAUACAAUUGCAAAAGAAUAUAUGUUUAGGUAUUAAUAAGAUAUAUAAUUAUGACAAGAGUCGAUUAUUAUUAUUUCAAAAAUUCCACAACUUAGUAAACGCUUAUACACAGACUCACAAUGUUGUCGUACAUUUAACUAAUACAUCAAAUUUAGAUAAUACUACUAAACCAAGUAUACAAACCGAUUUUGCUGUUGAUAGAAAAAAAAAAAUUAAUUUAAUGGAUAAUGUUAUGUUUACUGUUAAUAUUGAUAUUGAACAAGAUCAACAAAAUUUAGAAAAUUUAUUAAGAAAUAAAAAUAACGAGGCAAGUGGAAAUAAAAAAGGUAAUAUAUCCACCAGUCAUCACAACAAAACAAGUACAAACACUUUUUUAAAUAAAGAACAAUAUAGUAAUAUGUUUUUUGAUCCUACAGACAAUAUAGAAAAUAUAAAUUAUGAUAUAUUAUAUGAUAAAAUUACAAUAAAUGAGUUAUAUAUUUUAAACAAUAUAAAUUUAUAUAAUAAUAUUAUACAUAUUUAUAAAAAUGGAAUUGAUUUUUUUUAUUAUGAAAAAUUAAGAUCUAUUUUUUGGUUAUG
rnacentral:lncRNA from 1 species